rnacentral:lncRNA from 1 species
GCCCUUCACCCCAGGUGAGAAAGGAGCCUUGAGGAAGGGGAGAGGACCCGAGUUCGUGGCCUCUCCCAUUCUGAGGGUCAGCCCCGAGCAGGGCGGGCCGCUGCGUCUUGGAGUUCCUGUUGCCUGUGCCCUUGAUGGGUGGCCUGCAGGGGAGGCAGCCGCACUGGGUUGGCUGUGAUCCUGGGACAGCCGCAGUCCUGGGGCAGCCGCGUUCGGGCAGGCGGCACUUAGGAAAGACAAACUCUAAAACCCAGGGGUCCAAAGGACCCAUGGGAAGGACAGGUGGCUCAGGGGAGUGACCUCGCUGCUUGGCCAGCGCUUUGAGGCCCCGGGGACCCAACGGAGAGGGCCCGGGUGAGGCAUCUGGAGGCGCUGAGCGGGACCAGGAGCUGCGGGACCUGCAGAGGGCGCCCGCCCGUGUGGGCGCAGCAGCGCCUGGAGGGAGACGGCCCCGGCCGCCCGCAGGGGUCAGGCUCUGCUGCAGGUGGGGGUGGGGGGUCCCUGUCUCGGCCUCCCAGCCCAGGCUGGGUCUCUUUGCCCAGGUUGGGCGGGGCCGAUGGCCGUUGGAAGCCCCGUCUCCACGGAGACCCGAGGCCGCCAGACCGCCUGUCAGGGGCUGCCCUGGAGCCUGGCACCUUACCCUUGCACCCUGUCUGCCCCUCGGGGGCCAUGCUGUCCACGCUGACCCUGACUCGAGACAUUGGGAUGCCUGUCCACGCCUCCACUCCUGGGCCACUUCCCCGUGGGAGAGGACGAAGGCCCUGAGGUCCAAGAACAUUGAAACCUGACAGGUCAGUCAUGCGUGUACUCCAACAGCUGCAGGUAGGGGCCAGGCAAGAUGUCCACACUGCCGUGGCUUCAAAGGCAUCCUAUCCCAAGGGGUGAACUGAAGGACAGCCUGGAGCUUCCUGGAGACCAGAGGGCCCCUCCACCCUACCUGGAGCAACGCCAGAGCCUGGACUAUUUCCUGCAGCACUUCUCCCCUGCCCUGCUCUAUUUUAUCUUUUUUAAUAAAGAUGACUCCUGAUAAACG